AUGCUCCUUCUGCCAUAAAGCCUUUGCUCAUGCUUUUCUUUCUGUCUGUGAUAUUUAUCCUUUCCUUCUCUUCUUCCUUUAGACUUUUGCAUGCUGUCUCUUGGGCCCUUGGCUAGAUCAGACCAGACUACCAUCUACCCCUUUAAAUUCCAUCCAGCUGUCUUUAAUGGUGCUUAUCAUCAUUAGUGAACAUGCCAUUCAGUGUGUCAUUAUUUAAUCUUUGUGUCACUCCUCCAUUAACCUUCUAACCCUCAGAUCCAGCACAUAGUAGGAAGACAAUAAACAACAAAUACAGAUGAAUGUCUUCAAAUUCUGAAUCAAUUACAGGAGGCUCCUGAAAUACCAGGUUCCUCUGUGCUUUGUGCAUUUUAAUUUUCAGUAUUAAUCACAAUUAAAUGUACAGAAGACUAGGUCAGGAAAUAACUUAUUUGUAAAAUAAGGCAACGUUAGUAAGAUGGCAGCCCUUCCCUCCCUGGUGGUCCUCUAGUCACAUAUAUGUGUUUUCCAGCACAUGCUUUCUUGUUGGGCUGCUUCGUUUCCAUCCAGUGGCGUCGGACACCACGACAGAGGGAAAGGUAGAAGUGCUAGGGUCAGCCUGGGGUUUGUGUUCCAGCUCGAAUACUCUGUAGCUGAGCAACAUUAGUCACAUUGCACAUUAUUUCUCAGUUUCCUCAUCUGUUAAGUGCUUCACUCAUAGGACUGUGGUAACACUCUAAAUGAGUUAUGAGUCUGAAGCACCCACCCGGCACAGAGUCUGAUUUGUUGUCUGAGAAUUAUUUUCCUUCCCCUAGUGUACACUAUAUACCUGCUAAAACAACAGUGCAUUUCUUAAAUCAAGUUAUAUGAUUAAAAUAGCUGACACUAUGUCAUGUACAUUGUUCUAAGAUUUCCCCCAUAUUAACCCAUUGAAAACUCACAAGAGCCCUGUGAAGCAAAUACUGGUAAUUUCAGCCUCAUUUCAUGCAUGAGGAACUGAGAUUCAGAAUGAUUAAGUAACUAGCCCACAGUCAGGCCAAAAUUUAAUCCCAGCUAGUCUGGUAUGUUCUUAUACUGCAACAUGAUCCUGUGUCUCAGCUGGAGAAUUAGCAAGGAACGAUGGGCAAUGAAGAGCUGGUUUUGAAAAGAAAAAUCUCUCCCAAUUCUACUAUUAUCUGGGUGACCUUGGCCAAUUCAAUUCUCUCUUCUUUAAAAUGGGGAUACUAUCCCCUGUCUCCCGUGUGGAAGCUGAAUGAGAUGGCAAAUGUAAAACCCUUGUACACAUUUGUCAUUUGCCUGUGGCUAAGACAAUUUCUCUUUCUUCUUAUAGAAGUAUAACCUUUAAGUUUUCUCACCAACAACCUGGCCAGGGUAACUUUGGCCUUUGGCCAGCUCUAGAGCUUCUCGAACAAAAAUUGUUGACAUUGAGCCCACACAAAGCUGGAAACUCCCAGAGGGAUAACUGUGCAGGCUCUGACCCAGCAAGAUUUCCCCUGAAUUCUACAGAGUUUCAACACAUCUGAAACUCUUAGAGAGUAAAGCCCAAAGCUCCGGAAACAGAGAGCCUGGAAAGGAGAAGAAGGAGCUCUACUCUUUUGAAAGAAGGGGAAUCUUGGUGAUUAAAUUUCACAAAUGUGGC
rnacentral:lncRNA from 10 species